UUGUUCUUUAAUUGGGNGUUGGUAUGAAGGGUUACACAAAAAAUAUCUUUGGAGUUAAAUAAAGUAAAUUGAAAUUUAAGUUAAAAUGCUUAAGUGUUGUAAAGGGACGAUAAGACCCUAAAAGCUUUAAUUAUUAAGAGAUUUAUUUAAAGUUUGUUGUAAAUAUAAUUUGAUAGUAAUAUUAGCUGGGGAAGUGGUUUUGAUUCAAUCAAAAUUUAAAAUUACUGGUAUUAAGGGUAGUGAUCUUUUAUAUAAAGAAAAAUAGAGUAAGUUACUUUAGGGAUAACAGCGCAAUGAUCUUGGAGAGUUCUUAUUUAUAGGAUUAUGUGCGACCUCGAUGUUGAAUUAAGAUUGUCUUAAGGGAGCAGAAA
rnacentral:rRNA from 1 species